rnacentral:rRNA from 1 species
CGCCCUUAGAGUUUGAUCCUGGCUCAGAGCGAACGCUGGCGGCAUGCUUAACACAUGCAAGUCGCACGAAGGUUUCGGCCUUAGUGGCGGACGGGUGAGUAACGCGUAGGUAUCUAUCCAUGGGUGGGGGAUAACACUGGGAAACUGGUGCUAAUACCGCAUGACACCUGAGGGUCAAAGGCGUAAGUCGCCUGUGGAGGAGCCUGCGUUUGAUUAGCUAGUUGGUGGGGUAAAGGCCUACCAAGGCGAUGAUCAAUAGCUGGUUUGAGAGGAUGAUCAGCCACACUGGGACUGAGACACGGCCCAGACUCCUACGGGAGGCAGCAGUGGGGAAUAUUGGACAAUGGGGGCAACCCUGAUCCAGCAAUGCCGCGUGUGUGAAGAAGGUCUUCGGAUUGUAAAGCACUUUCGACGGGGACGAUGAUGACGGUACCCGUAGAAGAAGCCCCGGCUAACUUCGUGCCAGCAGCCGCGGUAAUACGAAGGGGGCUAGCGUUGCUCGGAAUGACUGGGCGUAAAGGGCGUGUAGGCGGUUUGUACAGUCAGAUGUGAAAUCCCCGGGCUUAACCUGGGAGCUGCAUUUGAUACGUGCAGACUAGAGUGUGAGAGAGGGUUGUGGAAUUCCCAGUGUAGAGGUGAAAUUCGUAGAUAUUGGGAAGAACACCGGUGGCGAAGGCGGCAACCUGGCUCAUUACUGACGCUGAGGCGCGAAAGCGUGGGGAGCAAACAGGAUUAGAUAUCCUGGUAGUCCACGCUGUAAACGAUGUGUGCUAGAUGUUGGGUGACUUAGUCAUUCAGUGUC